AUUAAACGCUGGCGGCAUGCCUUACACAUGCAAGUCGAACGGCAGCACGGGGGCAACCCUGGUGGCGAGUGGCGGACGGGUGAGUAAAGCAUCGGAACGUAUCCUGGAGUGGGGGAUAACGUAGCGAAAGUUACGCUAAUACCGCAUAUUCUGUGAGCAGGAAAGCAGGGGAUCGCAAGACCUUGCGCUCUGGGAGCGGCCGAUGUCGGAUUAGCUAGUUGGUGGGGUAAAGGCCUACCAAGGCGACGAUCCGUAGCGGGUCUGAGAGGAUGAUCCGCCACACUGGGACUGAGACACGGCCCAGACUCCUACGGGAGGCAGCAGUGGGGAAUUUUGGACAAUGGGCGCAAGCCUGAUCCAGCCAUGCCGCGUGAGUGAAGAAGGCCUCGG
rnacentral:rRNA from 1 species